rnacentral:tRNA from 1 species
AUUAGCUUAGUUUUAAUAAAAAACACUAGCCUGUGGCACUAGAAAAAAGAAAAAAAUAGCUUCUUAGCUAAU